rnacentral:rRNA from 1 species
GAUGAACGCUGGCGGCGUGCCUAAUACAUGCCAGUCGAGCGAACAGACGAGGAGCUUGCUCCUCUGACGUUAGCGGCGGACGGGUGAGUAACACGUGGAUAACCUACCUAUAAGACUGGGAUAACUUCGGGAAACCGGAGCUAAUACCGGAUAAUAUAUUGAACCGCAUGGUUCAAUAGUGAAAGACGGUUUUGCUGUCACUUAUAGAUGGAUCCGCGCCGCAUUAGCUAGUUGGUAAGGUAACGGCUUACCAAGGCAACGAUGCGUAGCCGACCUGAGAGGGUGAUCGGCCACACUGGAACUGAAACACGGUCCAGACUCCUACGGGAGGCAGCAGUAGGGAAUCUUCCGCAAUGGGCGAAAGCCUGACGGAGCAACGCCGCGUGAGUGAUGAAGGUCUUCGGAUCGUAAAACUCUGUUAUUAGGGAAGAACAAAUGUGUAAGUAACUAUGCACGUCUUGACGGUACCUAAUCAGAAAGCCACGGCUAACUACGUG